rnacentral:rRNA from 1 species
GUCUACAGCCAUACUACCCUGAACACGCCCAGUCUCAUCUGAUCUCGGAGGCUAAGCGGGGUCGGGCCUGGUUAGAAUAAUUUUAAAAGAAAAAAAAAACAGUGAAGAAAAUGAAGACU